rnacentral:rRNA from 1 species
GAUGAACGCUGGCGGCGUGCUUAACACAUGCAAGUCGAACGGAAAGGCCCAAGCUUGCUUGGGUACUCGAGUGGCGAACGGGUGAGUAACACGUGGGUGAUCUGCCCUGCACUUCGGGAUAAGCCUGGGAAACUGGGUCUAAUACUGGAUAGGACCACUUCUUGGAUGUUGUGGUGGAAAGUUUUUUCGGUGUGGGAUGAGCUCGCGGCCUAUCAGCUUGUUGGUGGGGUAAUGGCCUACCAAGGCGUCGACGGGUAGCCGGCCUGAGAGGGUGUACGGCCACAUUGGGGCUGAGGUACGGCCCAGGCUCCUACGGGAGGCAGCAGUGGGGAAUAUUGCACAAGGGGCGCCAGCCUGAUGCAGCGACGCCGCGUGGGGGAUGACGGCCUUCGGGUUGUAAACUCCUUUCGCUAGGGACGAAGCGUUUUGUGACGGUACCUGGAGAAGAAGCACCGGCUAACUACGUG